GCAACCUGGCCCGCCGAGGUUCGCCUUUGUGUGUGUGCCGGGUUGUGUCUACCAUCCUUCUAAGUUACCUUUGGCAAUUCUUUGAUUGGAGUUGUUUCCAUUGUGUUUUGACUUAGAUCUUUGACUUUGAACAAAUUAGAGUGUUUCAAGCAGGCUUUAUGCUAUGAAUACAUUAGCAUGGAAUAAUAAUUUAGGACUUCGGUUCUAUUUUGUUGGUUUCUAGGACUGAAGUAAUGAUUGAUAGGGAUAGUUGGGGGUGCUAGUAUUCAGCGGCCAGAGGUGAAAUUCUCGGAUUCGCUGAAGACUAACUUAUGCGAAAGCAUU
rnacentral:rRNA from 1 species